rnacentral:rRNA from 1 species
UACGGAGGGUGCAAGCGUUAUCCGGAUUCACUGGGUUUAAAGGGUGCGUAGGCGGGCAGGUAAGUCCGUGGUGAAAUCUCUGAGCUUAACUCAGAAACUGCCAUGGAUACUAUUUGUCUUGAAUAUUGUGGAGGUAAGCGGAAUAUGUCAUGUAGCGGUGAAAUGCUUAGAUAUGACAUAGAACACCAAUUGCGAAGGCAGCUGGCUACACAUAUAUUGACACUGAGGCACGAAAGCGUGGGGAGCAAACAGG